ACAUAAUUUAUAUUGAUUGACAACUGUUCGCCCUAGUGACGAGGUUAAACUCACUAUUGAUAGGGUUCAUUGACAUAAAUAUUACUAUUUUAUUAAAUCGAUAAUUCUCAUAACUUAGUUCAUACAUAUUCUUUUUUUUAUAUAUUUUAUUUUCAACAUAAUUUAUAUUGAUUGAAAAUUGUUCGCCCUAGUGAUGGCGUUAAACUCACUAUUGAUAGGGUUCAUUGACAUAAAUAUUUCUAUUUUAUUAAAUCGAUAAUUCUCAUAACUUAGUUCAUACAUAUUCUUUUUUUUAUAUAUUUUAUUUUCAACAUAAUUUAUAUUGAUUGAAAAUUGUUCGCCCUAGUGAUGGCGUUAAACUCACUAUUGAUAGGGUUCAUUGAGAUAAAUAUUACAUAUUUGUUCUAUAUUAUCAAAUCGAUAAUUCUCAUAACUUAUUUCAUACAUAUUCUUUUUUUUAUAUAAUUUUUUUUUCAACAUAAUUUAUAUUGAUUGACAAUUGUUCGCCCUAGUGAUGGCGUUAAACUCACUAUUGAUAGGGUUCAUUGAGAUAAAUACUACAUAUUUGUUCAAUAUUAUCAAAUCGAUAAUUCUCAUAACUUAUUUCAUACAUAUUCUUUUUUUUAUAUAAUUUUUUUUUCAACAUAAUUUAUAUUGAUUGACAACUGUUCGCCCUAGUGAUGGGGUUAAACUCACUAUUGAUAGGGUUCAUUGAGAUAAAUACUACAUAUUUGUUCAAUAUUAUCAAAUCGAUAAUUCUCAUAACUUAUUUCAUACAUAUUCUUUUUUUUAUAUAAUUUUUUUUCAACAUAAUUUAUAUUGAUUGAAAAUUGUUCGCCCUAGUGAUGGCGUUAAACUCACUAUUGAUAGGGUUCAUUGAGAUAAAUAUUACAUAUUUGUUCUAUAUUAUCAAAUCGAUAAUUCUCAUAACUUAUUUCAUACAUAUUCUUUUUUUUAUAUAAUUUUUUUUUCAACAUAAUUUAUAUUGAUUGACAACUGUUCGCCCUAGUGACGAGGUUAAACUCACUAUUGAUAGGGUUCAUUGACAUAAAUAUUACAUAUUUGUUUUAUAUCAUCAAAUCAAUAAUUCUCAUAACUUAAUUCAUACAUAUUCUUUUUUUUAUAUAAUUUUUUUUCAACAUAAUUUAUAUUGAUUGAAAAUUGUUCGCCCUAGUGAUGGCGUUAAACUCACUAUUGAUAGGGUUCAUUGAGAUUAAUAUUAAACAUUUGUUCUAUAUUAUUAAAUCGAUAAUUUUCAAAACUUAGUUCAUACAUAUUCUCUUUUUUAUAUAUUUUUUUUUUUUCAACAUAAUUUAUAUUGAUUGACAACUGUUCGCCCUAGUGAUGGGGUUAAACUCACUAUUGAUAGGGUUCAUUGACAUAAAUAUUACUAUUUUAUUAAAUCGAUAAUUCUCAUAACUUAGUUCAUACAUAUUCUUUUUUUUAUAUAUUUUAUUUUCAACAUAAUUUAUAUUGAUUGAAAAUUGUUCGCCCUAGUGAUGGCGUUAAACUCACUAUUGAUAGGGUUCAUUGAGAUAAAUAUUACAUAUUUGUUCUAUAUUAUCAAAUCGAUAAUUCUCAUAACUUAUUUCAUACAUAUUCUUUUUUUUAUAUAAUUUUUUUUUCAACAUAAUUUAUAUUGAUUGACAACUGUUCGCCCUAGUGAUGGGGUUAAACUCACUAUUGAUAGGGUUCAUUGACAUAAAUAUUACUAUUUUAUUAAAUCGAUAAUUCUCAUAACUUAGUUCAUACAUAUUCUUUUUUUUAUAUAUUUUAUUUUCAACAUAAUUUAUAUUGAUUGAAAAUUGUUCGCCCUAGUGAUGGCGUUAAACUCACUAUUGAUAGGGUUCAUUGAUAUAAAUAUUACUAUUUUAUUAAAUCGAUAAUUCUCAUAACUUAGUUCAUACAUAUUCUUUUUUUUAUAUAUUUUAUUUUCAACAUAAUUUAUAUUG
rnacentral:lncRNA from 1 species